UGUAUCCAGUGCAGACCAAAUACAAGAACCAAAACUUCUUCAACGGUAACUUAACAUCUGAUAACAUAAUGUAAACAAUGAUAUUAUAUACUGGGGCAAUCACCAGGAGUAUGGUACAAAUGAUUCCUUGUACUAUGAUUUAUUGAUGCUACACUAUACUAUUUGUACAAAUGUAGCUGAUACUACCACAAAAGCAUUACUGUCCGUAACUCUGUCAGCUACAUAGUAACACUGAGAAACACAGCAGGGGCUG